rnacentral:rRNA from 1 species
AAAGAAAGUAAGCAAGGGCGCAUGGCGGAUGCCUUGGCUCUCGGAGGCGAUGAAGGACGUGAUAAGCUGCGAUAAGCUCUGGGUAGGUGCAAAUAACCUUUGAUCCAGAGAUUUCCGAAUGGGACAACCCGGCAUUCUGAAGGAAUGUCAUCCAUCUUUGAUGGAAGCUAACGCAGGGAACUGAAACAUCUUAGUACCUGUAGGAAAAGAAAAUAAUAAUGAUUCCCCUAGUAGUGGCGAGCGAACGGGGAAUAGCCCAAACCACCCAUGUUACGGCAUGUGUGGGGUUGUAGGACCACGAUGUCGCAAGACAUUUGACGAGUAGAAUCCUCUGGAAAGUGGAACCAUAGACGGUGAUAGUCCGGUAUACGAAGUCAAAUUAAGCGUAGUGGUAUCCUGAGUAGCGCGGGACACGAGAAAUCUUGCGUGAAUCUGCCGGGACCAUCCGGUAAGGCUAAAUACUCCCGAGAGACCGAUAGCGAACCAGUACUGUGAAGGAAAGGUGAAAAGCACUUCGAAUAGAAGAGUGAAAUAGUCCCUGAAACCGUGCGCCUACAAGCGGUCGGAGCUGCGUAAGCAGUGACGGCGUGCCUUUUGCAUAAUGAACCUACGAGUUACUUUUUCCGGCAAGGUUAAGCAUCUUGAGAUGUGCAGCCGAAGCGAAAGCGAGUCUGAACAGGGCGUCGAGUCGGAAGGAGUAGACGCGAAACCAAGUGAUCUACCCUUGGUCAGGUUGAAGGUUAGGUAACACUAACUGGAGGACCGAACCGAUAAGCGUUGAAAAGCUUCCGGAUGAACUGAGGGUGGGGGUGAAAGGCUAAUCAAACUUGGAGAUAGCUCGUACUCCCCGAAAUGCAUUUAGGUGCAGCCUUGUGAGUUACUAAUGUGAGGUAGAGCGACUGAUAAGAUGCGAGGCUUCACCGCCUAUCAAGUCUUGAUAAACUCCGAAUGCGCAUUAGUUCUAUCACAGGAGUGAGGGCAUGGGUGCUAAGGUCCAUGUCCUAAAGGAGAAGAAUCCAGACCAUCAGCUAAGGUCCCCAAAUAAACACUAAGUUGAACUAACGAAGUCAGAUUGCUAAGACAGCUAGGAUGUUGGCUUGGAAGCAGCCAUUCAUUUAAAGAGUGCGUAACAGCUCACUAGUCGAGGAGUUUGGCGUGGAUAAUAAUCGGGCAUUAAGUGUUUUACCGAAGCUAUGGGAUCAGUAAUGAUCGGUAGGGGAGCAUUCCACUCUGCGUCGAAGGUGAAGCGUGAGCUUUGCUGGAGCGUGUGGAAAAGCAAAUGUAGGUAUAAGUAACGAUAAAGGGGGUGAGAAACCCCCUCGCCGAAAGACUAAGGUUUCCUGAUCAACGCUAAUCGGAUCAGGGUUAGUCGGGUCCUAAGGCUCAGCCGAACGGUGAGGCCGAUGGCAGAACAGGUUAAUAUUCCUGUACUACCUUAAGGAGUGACGUGGAGACGGAGGCGUGACAGCGCCGCGGACUGACGGAAUAGUCCGUUGAAGGGUGUAGAUGCUGAUUAUCCCAGGCAAAUCCGGGAUAAGAGUCGAACCUGAUAGUAUGGAGCGUUCUUCGGAACAAUCCAAUAGUGCGUGUAAUCAUACUCCCAAGAAAAUCCGCUAAACUUAAUCCUUGAGGUACCCGUACCGCAAACGGACACACGUAGUCGGGUUGAAUAUACUAAGGCGCUUGAGUGAUUCACGGUUAAGGAACUAGGCAAAUUGACCCUGUAACUUCGGGAUAAAGGGUCCCAACGAGAGUUGGGCGCAGAGAAUAGGUCCAGGCAACUGUUUAACAAAAACACAGGNNNNNNNNNNNNNNNNNNNNNNNNNNNNNNNNNNNNNNNNNNNNNNNNNNNNNNNNNNNNNNNNNNNNNNNNNNNNNNNNNNNNNNNNNNNNNNNNNNNNNNNNNNNNNNNNNNNNNNNNNNNNNNNNNNNNGUAUACAGCCUGACACCUGCCCGGUGCUGGAAGGUUAAGAGGAGAUGUCAUCGCAAGAGAAGCAUUGAAUUGAAGCCCCAGUAAACGGCGGCCGUAACUAUAACGGUCCUAAGGUAGCGAAAUUCCUUGUCGGGUAAGUUCCGACCUGCACGAAUGGUGUAAUGAUCUGGACACUGUCUCAACCGUGAGCUCAGUGAAAUUGUAGUAUCGGUGAAGAUGCCGAUUACCCGCGAUGGGACGAAAAGACCCCGUGAACCUUUACUAUAGCUUAACAUUGAAUUUGGGUAAUUGAUGUGUAGGAUAGGCCGGAGACUUCGAAGCAGGUACGCCAGUAUUUGUGGAGUCGCUGUUGAAAUACGGCCCUUUGAUUAUUUGAGUUCUAACUCGUGGUACGAGGACACUGUUUGGUGGGUAGUUUGACUGGGGUGGUCGCCUCCAAAAUAGUAACGGAGGCUUCUAAAGGUGCCCUCAGGACGAUUGGUAACCGUCCGCAGAGUGUAAUGGCAUAAGGGCGCUUGACUGGGAGACUUACAAGUCGAUCAGGUAGGAAACUAGAGCAUAGUGAUCCGGUGUUUCCGUAUGGAAGGGACAUCGCUCAAAGGAUAAAAGGUACUCCGGGGAUAACAGGCUGAUCCCUCCCAAGAGCUCAUAUCGACGGAGGGGUUUGGCACCUCGAUGUCGGCUCGUCACAUCCUGGGGCUGGAGAAGGUCCCAAGGGUUGGGCUGUUCGCCCAUUAAAGUGGCACGCGAGCUGGGUUCAGAACGUCGUGAGACAGUUCGGUCUCUAUCUAUCGUGGGCGUAUGAAAUUUGCGUGGCUCUGACACUAGUACGAGAGGACCGUGUUGGACUGACCGCUGGUUUACCAGUUGUGCCGCCAGGUGCAUUGCUGGGUAUCUAAGUCGGGAUUGGAUAAGUGCUGAAAGCAUCUAAGUACGAAGCCAGCCACAAGAUUAGAUUUCUUAGGGUCGUUAAAGACGAUGACGUUGAUAGGAUGCAGGUGUAAAGGUGGUAACAUCAAAGCCGAGCAUUACUAAUUGCCCGUUCACUUUCUUU